GGAAUGGCGGGGUGCUAUACAUGCAAGUCGAGCGGACUUACAAAAGCUUGCUUUUGUAAGUUAGCGGCGGACGGGUGAGUAACACGUGGGCAACCUGCCCUUGAGACUGGGAUAACUUCGGGAAACCGGAGCUAAUACCGGAUAAUAUAAGGAACCUCCUGGUUCCUUAUUGAAAGAUGGUUUCGGCUAUCACUUAAGGAUGGGCCCGCGGCGCAUUAGCUAGUUGGUGAGGUAACGGCUCACCAAGGCGACGAUGCGUAGCCGACCUGAGAGGGUGAUCGGCCACACUGGGACUGAGACACGGCCCAGACUCCUACGGGAGGCAGCAGUAGGGAAUCUUCCACAAUGGACGAAAGUCUGAUGGAGCAACGCCGCGUGAGUGAUGAAGGCCUUCGGGUCGUAAAGCUCUGUUGUUAGGGAAGAACAAGUGCGAGAGUAACUGCUCGCACCUUGACGGUACCUAACCAGAAAGCCACGGCUAACUACGUGCCAGCAGCCGCGGUAAUACGUAGGUGGCAAGCGUUAUCCGGAAUUAUUGGGCGUAAAGCGCGCGCAGGUGGUUUCUUAAGUCUGAUGUGAAAGCCCACGGCUCAACCGUGGAGGG
rnacentral:rRNA from 1 species